CCCCGGGGACUUCAGUUCCUGACCCUGGACUGUGGGCACUGGCAGCGGCUGCAGGACUAGGUGAAGGUCAACACCGUAGGGGCUGGAUGCUGGGGGCAGCCAGCCUACCACCUGCACCUGUGAGCCCAAGACGAGGGUUCUGACUGGAUCAGCCUCUGCGGGAGGAGGUGCUCAGUGUUGAUGCGCGCAACAUGACUGCCUCCCGGGGCCUCAGAGUCAACUCUGGUGGAGGGAGGCCACCCUUGACUGGCUCUCCGGCCAUAGGGCUUGGCUCUGUGCAGGGUGAAUGCACGCUACAGCUGCACUCCCAGGCAACACCCCGAGGGAACAGGGAGGCAUCAGACACCAGCCCCCCAGCCUCCUCUCUGGGCUGCCCUGUCUGUGAAGCAGAACCAUGUGACUGGCAGGGCUGCUGGGGGGCAGGUCACAGGAUCUCAGC
rnacentral:lncRNA from 1 species